rnacentral:misc_RNA from 1 species
UACGGAGGGCGCGAGCGUUGUUCGGAAUUAUUGGGCGUAAAGCGCACGUAGGCGGCUCGGUAAGUCUGUCUGUGAAAGCCCGGGGCUCAACCCCGGGAGGCCAGGGGAUACUGUCGAGCUGGAGACAAGCAGAGGUCGGUAGAAUUCCGGGUGUAGCGGUGGAAUGCGUAGAGAUCCGGAGGAAUACCAGAGGCGAAGGCGGCCGACUGGGCUUGUUCUGACGCUGAGGUGCGAAAGCGUGGGUAGCAAACAGG